rnacentral:lncRNA from 1 species
GGAAAAUGUACAAGUUCUAACAAGUUUUGCAAUCCUUGCAAAGUAGCUUGGGCCUUGCAAAACCAUUGGUUAUAGAGAUGAGCAAAGCCCUAAUACUGUGAAGUUCCUACAGGGAAACGUGGCCAGAGGAUUAGGCGCUAAUCUCUGACCUGAGAAGAUGUGAUGAAUGUCUACACUGUCGAUGGUACUGCAGCAGAGAUAGCUGAGCUCGUUAUGACUAGUUUUUGGCGGAAUAACCUAGUUCUGCACUUAGGGGUAUGGGAAGCUAAUUUCCAUUCCACCAGUGGAGUAAAUUAACCCAUGCAGAGAUCAACGCUAGAGAGUCAAGAAAGCAGAAAAUGGUAGCCUACACUGUAGCUGUACACCCUGUUUCCUCAUGUCCAAAUUUCUUAGAUGGCCACAAUCAAAUUGUUUGUCCUCUUGGCAUGUACACUUAUAAGGAAAAACAAAGUAUCGUGCCUAUUUUGCGUGCUUACCCUGAAGAGCAGUGCAUGUUGAUCUACAAAAUGCUCAGAUAUGGAAGGAUGUUACAUAGGUUGCUUAGAAAGAUGAAGGGAUUGAUUUUGUUAUUCCUUCAUCUUCCUCACAGCUAUAAACAACAGCUCUUUCUGCCCGGGAAUGGACUCAUAAGGCCCAGUUGGGAGAAUGACAGCUCUGCCCUGCUGAAAAAGAUCGUUCUUGCUUCUUUGAAGGAAUGCUCUGCUGGAGCUGGAGAAAUGCUCAGAAACUCCGUGCCUAUCAACCCCCUGAAAAUGAGCCCGAGUGAGAACAGGGAGGAGCAUCCCAGCACAGUGUGGGUGGUGUGGGAGCUGCAAGCACGCCGCUUCCAAGGGAGGAACUGAAGCUCCACUGAGCUGUCUUUGCUCUUCCACUCCAGUAUGGGGCUUACUGAGGUUUUUGUAACAAGGAUAUGGUUCUUCG